UCCCCAAGUUGCAGAGAUUGGCUGUAAAGAGGGUUAAAGGGCUAUCAACCGAAGAUCUUACCACCCGAAAUGAUUUGGUGCUUGCAUUGCCAGAGAGGAUUCAAGCUAUACCAGAUGGAACUGCGACUUCCACGAAGAAUAAUGGGGGUUGGACAUCCUCAGCUUCGCGUGCUGAAAUCAAAUUUGACUCAGAUGGGCGAUUCGAUGAUGAGUACUUCCAACACACUGAGGAG
rnacentral:misc_RNA from 1 species